GGUCCCCCUUGUCCUCGGUGCCCGCCCUCCCCAGGCUGCUGGCAGUGCCAGCAAUGCCAAAAGCUGCCCCCUCUUCGCUCUGCCCAUUCAGGGCUGCCGGGGCUUUUCGGGCUCCCUUCUGGGCUCCCUUCUCCCCUCAUGCUCUGCUCCGGGCUGCAGGGGCUCCAAGGAGUCCCCCCUGCCCCUCUCCAGCCUCUGCAGGCUCCCGCCCAUGGCGGCGCUCCCCCCUCUCUGGGCUCCCCGCUUUGGGCUCCUGGGGGACACAGGGCUCUGCUCCUCCAGGCUGCCUCUGCCGCCAGCCGCCACCGCCACCCCCCGAUGUCCCCCCGAGGGGCCUUUUCCGCUCAGCCUCGCACUUCUUCAUUCUCCAAAUAUCCCCCCCAAAAAAAAACCCACCCCAGCCCAGGGACCCCCGGGAUAUCUGGGCCGAGCUCCCCCUCCCCGCUCACCUGCGCCAUGGGGGCGAUGAUCCCACAGGUGGGGGCUGCGAAUGCACGGAGGGCUCGGCCGCGUGCUUCCUCCUGCUCAGCCUGGACCCGCCUUUGGCCCUCCUCUUCCUCUUCCUCCCGCUCCUCCUCUGCCAUCCCCCCGCCUCCUCCUCCUCCUCCUCCUCCUCCCUGUGCCCGCCUCUCCGUCCUCCUCCUUCAUCCCUGCCCUUGGCUCCCUCCUCCUCCUCCCGCAGCAGCAGCGACCCCCUCGCUGCCCCGUUCCCGGAGCCCUCGCAGCCCGCGGCAGGAGCGGGGCUGGAGCCGGCACAGCUCGGCACGGGCAGCGCGGGGCUCUCGGCUGCUCCCGGCCGCUGCGGAGAAGGGGGGAAGCCGGCCCGGGCCAAAGGAGAGGCAAACUGCGACAACUGGGGGCCCCCCAUCCGAACUGGGCCUUGCUGGGGAGCCUGCCUGGGCACUGCCAGCCCUUGGGGCUCCUCUCGGCACAGCCGGGAGCGGGGAACGCUCAGAGGAAGCAGUGGCAGGAGUGACCCCCACAGCCCCCGAGCAGGCCAAGCAGACCCCGAGCCCGUCUCGGCCAUCCCUGCUUGCACACUUUCAGAACACGCAAUUCCUUUAUCACAAGACCUCUGUCAAUGCUCAUCUCCCGCCUUCGCGCGGCUCGCACCCCCCGCCCCCGAACAGAACUCGCGCUCGGUCUCAUUCCCGGAACGCAAGGAAAAUUCCGAACGUAUUUCCCGACACGGCAAGAGUUCCUUUCUUCCCAGAGGGAGCGGCGAAGGACUGCUCUCAAGUGCAGAGACGCUGACAGGGCCGGCAGAAAGCGGGGACGCGGCCCCAGCUGGAAGCUGCUCCGGGUCGCAGCCUCCGGAGGAGCCGACACCGGAAUCGUUCCCGAGAAAAGCACCGGGCGCUGCGGAAGGGAAGGAACUCUCAGGGGAGCCCGACACUGCCACGGAAAAGGACGGUGACUCGGGAGGCAUUGCUUGGAUUUCAAGGGUCUGAGCAAGAGGGAGCGGCGAAGGACUGCUCUCAAGUGCAGAGACGCUGACAGGGCCGGCAGAAAGCGGGGACGCGGCCCAUGCUGGAAGCUGCUCCGGGUCGCAGCCUCCGGAGGAGCCGACACCGGAAUCGUUCCCGAGAAAAGCACCGGGCGCUGCGGAAGGGAAGGAACUCUCAGGGGAGCCCGACACUGCCACGGAAAAGGACGGUGACUCGGGAGGCAUUGCUUGGAUUUCAAGGGUCUGAGCAAGCUGAGGCCACCGGGGAAAGGAAAAGAUCCUGCUCUGAAAAUCCAGGUCUGACUGGUCCACCAAGGCAAAUUACUGUCUCCGGGUGUGUUUGCUCAGCCCAUGGAGCACUGCACCCGAGAAGGGGCAGCGAGCUCUCCUUCGCCUGCAUCACUUAGCAGCGCUGGCCCUGGAAUUUCUCCACCCUCCUGGCUUGGCUGCACUUUCUCUCUGCAAUGACCUCCUCGGGGGUCACCCCCAAAGGAGCCUCCCUUCCCGUACAUCAAGCACCGUGGCAGAUGGACUGAGAUGGGAGAAGGUUCUCCCUCGAGGACUGACACAUGCCACCCCUACGUGGAAAAGCCCCCUCCUCUUCCCUAAAGACUGAGGCUGAAAUCCCCACCGUAGGGUGGGGGCAGGCGUGGGUGGGGAAGGCCAGGUAACCAAAGCAAGUUUGCAAGCGACCGCUGGACCGAGGGGACGAUGGUUCUUGCCUACUGCUGAUGGACUUUCUGUACCAGGCCUACUGCUGAUGGAAUUUUGGUACCCUUUCUCAACAGACUAUUUUGAAAUGUGUCCCCUUGCCCCAGUAAAAAAGGACUAUAAAAGAGGUUAGAGCUGACUGGUCCCCUUGAGAUCUCCCCUGACGUGAGGACGGCAGGCUCCGUCGCCUGGACUUUGAAGGAUCCCACGUCUGCUAGCUAUACACCUCCUUUCUUUUCCUCUC